UACGGAGGGUGCGAACGUUAAUCGGAAUCACUGGGCGUAAAGCGCGCGUAGGCGGUUCGUUAAGUGGGAUGUGAAAUCCCCGGGCUUAACCUGGGAAUUGCAUUUCAAACUGGCCGACUAGAGUACGGUAGAGGGAGGUAGAAUUUCCUGUGUAGCGGUGAAAUGCGUAGAUAUAGGAAGGAAUACCAGUGGCGAAGGCGGCCUCCUGGAUCGGUACUGACGCUGAGGCGCGAAAGCGUGGGGAGCAAACAGG
rnacentral:rRNA from 1 species